ACAGAAUCCUUCGGGAGGACGUCUGUGGAACGAGCGGCGGACGGGUGAGUAACACGUGGGCAACCUGCCUGUAAGACUGGGAUAACCCCGGGAAACCGGGGCUAAUACCGGAUAAGUCGUUUCACCGCCUGGUGAAACGUUAAAAGAUGGCCUUUGUGCUAUCACUUACAGAUGGGGCUGCGGCGCAUUAUUUAUUUAGUGAGGUAACGGCUCUCCAAGGCGACGAUACGUAUCCCACCUGAGAGGGUGAUAUGCCACACUGUGACUGAGACACGGCCCCCACUCCUACGGGAGGCAGCAGUAUGGAAUCAUCCGCAAUGGACGAAAGUCUGACGGUGCAACGCCGCGUGAGUGAAGAAAGGCUUCCGGUCCUAAAGCUCUGUUGUGAGGGAAGAAACCGUUUCGUUCUCACAGGACGGAGCUAUGACGGUACCUCACCAGAAAGCCACGGCUAACUACGUGCCAGCAGCCGCGGUAAUACGUAGGUGGCAAGCGUUGUCCGGAAUUAUUGGGCGUAAAGCGCGCGCAGGCGGUUUCUUAAGUCUGAUGUGAAAUCUCGCGGCUCAACCGCGAGCGGUCAUUGGAAACUGGG
rnacentral:rRNA from 1 species